rnacentral:misc_RNA from 1 species
AAGUCGUAACAAGGUUUCCGUAGGUGAACCUGCGGAAGGAUCAUUAAUGAAAUGAUGAUUUUUUGGGGUUUUCCCUGAAAAAUAAUUCACCACUUGUGCAUUGUUAUUAGAUAUACUUUGGUUAGAGCUUUGAUUUCAUUUUUUUGAAAUCAACUUCUUGCUGACUCUAUCCUUUCUGAGGACAGUUGGCUAUGAAGCGGCCUACCAAGGUUUUUUAUCAAACACAUUUAAUUUAUCUGACCUAAAUCAUUAUAAUAAAAUCAUAACUUUCAACAACGGAUCUCUUGGCUCUC